rnacentral:rRNA from 1 species
AAAUUGAAGAGUUUGAUCAUGGCUCAGAUUGAACGCUGGCGGCAGGCCUAACACAUGCAAGUCGAACGGUAACAGGAAGAAGCUUGCUUCUUUGCUGACGAGUGGCGGACGGGUGAGUAAUGUCUGGGAAACUGCCUGAUGGAGAGGGAUAACUACUGGAAACGGUAGCUAAUACCGCAUAACGUCGCAAGACCAAAGAGGGGGACCUUCGGGCCUCUUGCCAUCGGAUGUGCCCAGAUGGGAUUAGCUAGUAGGUGGGGUAACGGCUCACCUAGGCGACGAUCCCUAGCUGGUCUGAGAGGAUGACCAGCCACACUGGAACUGAGA